UGGGGAAUAUUGGACAAUGGGCGCAAGCCUGAUCCAGCCAUGCCGCGUGAGUGAUGAAGGCCCUAGGGUUGUAAAGCUCUUUCACCGGUGAAGUUAAUGACGGUAACCGGAGAAGAAGCCCCGGCUAACUUCGUGCCAGCAGCCGCGGUAAUACGAAGGGGGCUAGCGUUGUUCGGAUUUACUGGGCGUAAAGCGCACGUAGGCGGACUAUUAAGUCAGGGGUGAAAUCCCGGGGCUCAACCCCGGAACUGCCUUUGAUACUGGUAGUCUUGAGUUCGAGAGAGGGGAGUGGAAUUCCGAGUGUAGAGGUGAAAUUCGUAGAUAUUCGGAGGAACACCAGUGGCGAAGGCGGCUCACUGGCUCGAUACUGACGCUGAGGUGCGAAAGCGUGGGGAGCAAACAGG
rnacentral:rRNA from 1 species